UUUUGAUCUCAAAUCAGGCAAGACUACCCGCUGAAUUUAAGCAUAUCAAUAAGCGGAGGAAAAGAAACUAACAAGGAUUCCCCUAGUAACGGC
rnacentral:rRNA from 1 species